rnacentral:tRNA from 1 species
GCAGUGGUAGUUUAGUGGCGGAAUUCUCACCUUCCAUGCAGGAGAACUAGGUUCGAUUCCCAGCCAAUGCA